UGUAUGUAUGUGUGCAUGUGCAUAUAUGUGUAUAUACAUAUAUAUGUAUUAUGUACUCAUAUAUCA
ensembl:miRNA